rnacentral:rRNA from 1 species
AGGAAAUAGAUACCCCGGUAGUCCACGCCGUAAACGAUGGGCACUAGGUGCUGGGGGGAGCGACCCCUUCAGUGCCGCAGCUAAACGCGAUAAGUGCCCCGCCUGGGGAGUACGGCCGCAAGGCUGAAACUCAAAGGAAUUGACGGGGGCCCGCACAAGCGGUGGAGCAUGUGGUUUAAAUUCGAAGCAACGCGAAGAACCUUACCUAGGUUUGACAUGCUGGUGAAAGCCUCUGGAAACAGGGGCCCUUCUUCGGAACACCAGCACAGGUGCUGCAUGGCUGUCGUCAGCUCGUGUCGUGAGAUGUUGGGUUAAGUCCCGCAACGAGCGCAACCCUUGCCCCGUGUUACUAACAGGUAAAGCUGAGGACUCUCGGGGGACUGCCGGCGUCAAGCCGGAGGAAGGUGGGGACGACGUCAAGUCAUCAUGGCCCUUACGCCUAGGGCGACACACGUGCUACAAUGGCGAGGACAGAGGGCAGCAAGACGGCAACGUGAGCGAAUCCCAGAAACCUCGUCUAAGUUCGGAUUGUGGGCUGCAA